rnacentral:lncRNA from 1 species
CGGGAAGAGGUCACAGGGACCCCCAGACGGAGCUCUACUCCAGUCAUUCAGUCUCCCAGGGAGCUCACCCCCUGCGAGGCGGGGUCUCCCCAUCCCCGUUGCCCCUCGAUCUGCAGGCUGCACCGUGUCCGCGGGGAGGCAGGAGCCCGGGAAGGCAGUCAGCGGUGCGAUGUCCGUGCUGAGCGUCCUCUGCGGGGCCCAAACCCACAAGUGUCCGCAAGGCGCCAAACAAUCAUCGCCUAGCCUCGCCGGGCGCAAUUCGAAUAACAAAUGCAACGCACGCAAAUUGCCUGCCUCGUGUUGCUAAGCGAUUGUUUGUCCGCCCGCACGCACCGCUCAGCAUGGGAGGACCGGGAGCGGCCAGAGGCGGCCAGCAAGCGCUUAGGUGGGACGUGCAAUAAACACGCCGCUGAUUUUACUUAUUAUCACCCAAACACGAUUUCACGCGAAGCAAUCACCAUGCCAGAAGUCUAUGAAAAUGUGUUUGUUGAGGAGUCCGUCGCCCCGCCUCUCUCCCGGUCACAGAGCACAGCUCAUAAUCGGAUGCCCUUAAGAAGAUUUUUUCGUGGCAUGGGCAAAAAGCCGGCGUGUCCCUUACAAAGACUUUCCCGAGAGACCUCGCCCCUCUGUGAAGUUCUGGAAGCAGUGAGGGGAGACAGGAAGCAACAGAGACCAGUUUGUGCACAGCUGAGCCACCAAGCAGAGUGAGAUCUUCUGUAUAGAGAGACUGGGAGACAAAAUGUGAUUAAGAAAGAAGACUGGCCGGGAAAGACAGGAGGAGGUGUUUUAUUUACAUUUCUUACGCAUUCCAACACAUCUUACUGUGGUCAGCAAACCGGAAAGGAAAGGACAUAUUUCAUAACCUAAAGAAGGCACCAGACUUUUGUUUUGUUUUGUUUUUCCUCAGCAUUCUACAUUCCUAUCUUACCCUUCUGCCCAUUUUGAAAUGAAUAAGGGUAGAUUUUUCCUGUUAGCCGUAGUUGUAAAGUUCUUGGAAAAACAAUUGAUUUGCUAAUAAAAUAUUUCCGUAGCUUUCA